rnacentral:rRNA from 1 species
GGGAAAUCUAGAGCUAAUACAUGCAGUUUAUUGGUCUAAUCGAAAGGUUGCGUCAAAGCAUUUAUUAGACUUAACCAUCUACCGUGUGGCAACACGCGGUAAGGCGAAUCUAGAUAACUUUGCUGAUCGUAUGGCCUUGUGCCGACGACGUUUCAAUUGAGUUUCUGCCCUAUCAAUUUGUUGGUAAGGUAUUGGCUUACCAAGGUUGCAACGGGUAACGGGGGAUCAGGGUUCGAUUCCGGAGAGGGAGCCUGAGAAACGGCUACCACAUCCAAGGAAGGCAGCAGGCGCGCAAAUUACCCAAUCUAGACAGUAGGAGGUGGUGAAGAGAAGUACUGAGUGGUGGCCAAUGGUUACCAACUUGGAAUGAACGUAAUUUAAGCAAUUCGAUGAGUAACUACUGGAGGGCAAGUCCUGGUGCCAGCAGCCGCGGUAAUUCCAGCUCCAGUGGCGUGAUUUAAAGUUGCUGCGUUUAAAACGCUCGUAGUUGGAUCACGCAGUGGUACUUAGUAACUCAUGUUGGUGUUUGUUGACGAUUUUCUCUCAGAGUUUAUUGGAUCUGCACUGGCUUGAGUGUUAACGCUAGGUGCCACUAUUUGCACACAAGUGUGGUAUUUGGUCUUUAGUGAAUCGAGUGCCAUGUCUUGUGGAGUGUGCCUUGAAUAAAACAGAGUGCUCAAAGCAGGCGUAAGCUUGAAUGUUAUAGCAUGGAACGAACAAACGUGUAUUUGCGUGUGUCAAGUGGUGGCUGGGGGCAACCUCGGUUACCGCUGAUACGCGCAGCACCCACCAAAAUACGGAUGUUGGUUUUCGUAUCAGGUGAUGAUUACCAGGAGCGGUUGGGGGCAUUGGUAUUUGGCCGCGAGAGGUGAAAUUCUUGGACCGGCCAAGGACUAACAGAUGCGAAGGCGUUUGUCUAGACCGUUUCCAUUAAUCAAGAACGAAAGUGAGAGGUUCGAAGACGAUCAGAUACCGUCCUAGUUCUCACCUUAAACUAUGCCGACCUGGGAUCAGCUUAGUGAUUUGCAAGC